rnacentral:lncRNA from 1 species
UUGCCUACUUGAGUGCGUCAAAUCCAUUUCUGCAUCCAUUUCGUGCAGAAACGACUCCAACUAGUCCGACACUCUCCAGAUGUGUCGACCAGUCACUAAUACUGUAGCCAAUCCUAUCCAAAACUCUGGAACACUACAAGUAUUUUGUAUUACUGACGGUUGAUAUCUUACAAAUAUACAAAUUACAAAAUUGUAUUACUGACGGUUGAUAUCUUACAAAUUAUACAAAAUUACAAAAUUACCCUCCACACCCCCAAUUACCUCAAAUUUAAAUGUAAAUACAUUUAAAUUUUUAUUUCUCAUUUACUUAAAUAUAUAAGUUUGAAUUCAAAAUUUAAAAUUUUAAUUAAAUUAAAUUUUAAAUUUAAAUUUAAAAUUUUGAUUUAUUUGAAAUUUUGAAUUAAAAAUUUUGAUUUGAAUUAAAAUUUUGAAUUUGAAAAUAAAAUUUGAACUCAAAAAUCUAAUUAAAAAUGAAAUAUGACUUCAUAAUUUGAAUUCAAAUGUAGAAUUUAAAUUUAAAAUUUAAAUUAUUCAAACUAAAUUUUAAUAUAAAAUUUGAAUUAAAAAACUAAAUUUGAACGAUCUAAAAAUUAGAAUAUGAAUAUAAAUAUGAAUUUGAACUUUGAAUUAAAACUUUGAAGAUAAAUUUAAAAUUUUGAAUUUAAAUGUGAAUUUAAAUUAAAUUUUGAAUUUAAAUUCAAAUUUUGAAUUUAAAAUAAAAAUUAUAUUUAAAAUUCAAACUUAAAAU